rnacentral:rRNA from 1 species
GAGCGGCAAGGAUAGCAAUAUUUCUUAGAGCGGCGGACUGAUGAGUAACGCGUGGGUGACCUGCCCUUAGGUUGGGGAUAGCCCCUAGAAAUAGGGGGUAAUACCGAAUACGGUUAUCUGGUUAUGACUGGAUAAAGAAAGGAGCUUCGGCUUCGCCUGGGGAUGGGCCCGCGUCCCAUUAGCUAGUUGGCGGGGUAAGAGCCCACCAAGGCUCUGAUGGGUAGCCGGCCUGAGAGGGUGAACGGCCACACUGGGACUGAGAUACGGCCCAGANUCCCUACGGGAGGCAGCAGCUAAGAAUAUUCCGCAAUGGGCGAAAGCCUGACGGAGCGACGCCGCGUGGAUGAGGAAGGCCGAAAGGUUGUAAAANCCUUUUGUUGCUGAAGAAUAAGCGGGGGAGGGAAUGCCCCCGUGAUGACGCAAGNCAAUGAAUGAGCCCCGG